UAUUAAAUUAUUGGUAUUGCGACUGUCCUGACUGCCCAGCAGUUGCUAUUGCGAAUGCAUUUUGUCGCUUUGUGUUCGUUUGUGGGUAUAUAACCGAACACAUGUGCUGUAGCGCUAAACGACAGUAGCUUCGCGUCGCGCUCGGUGGCAGGAAUCCUUAUCAAUUCUGUGACAACGGCGACGGCGAAGUCAGCGAGACAAUCAUUACUGGGCACUAUCUGGUAGAAAUUCAACGUGUAAAGAGGCGGAUAUAUUGCUUGGUUGCUGAAAAAAGCCCUCAAAACAUAUUUGUAGAUAAGCUCGAAAAUAUUCAAUUUGCGCAAUGGAUGUUGACCUUUAGGGUUAAUAUGUAGAUUACUUUUUAGCGCGUGUUGUGUAUUAUGUUCUUUUUGUUCCAUUCAAAAGAACGAACAGAACCAUUAUGUGGUAUGCAACAGUGUUGCGCAAAAUGGUUCCGGUGAAAUGCAGUUAUGUUUGCGUUGAUGUCAGUGAUGCAAUUAUUUAAAGUGCCGUAAAUGGAGGUAGUAUUACUGACGCACUUGUAGCAGUGUGUCAUGUAACCUAGCACCCAGUAUCAACUGCGGUAACGUUCUGAAUAGUAAUUUGGAAACUAUGCUUUGGCCUAAUGCUGCUGCAGAUAGGGAGCUAUUGCCUGCCCUAACAUGGAACUGCUACGCAGUGCCUGGGAAAGGACACAUCGUAAAAGAUUAGGCCUCUCGCUGUUGUGAAAACAUAUUUUCUGGAUAGCGCAUUUAAGCUCGUUCUUACACAACUUCACAACAAUAACCAGGCGGCCGCUUCACAUAAUUACGCAUCGGUCAAAAUUUACGCUGGCGUAUCGGUGUAUGUGCCCUUUUUCCUCCGUUCGUAUCCUGCGGUGUGCCACAACGGGCCAACAGAAGGGCCCGCUGUGGCACCAGGAAGUGGACGAAAUAGCGGAAGAAACGUGGUUAAAUAUGAAACACGUGUUACAUUGUGCACCCGCAGCGUGUCGCUUGGGGUUUUGGUCGUUUAGAUGUUGUUUGUUUUGCAGUAUAGCACCGAACACCAGCACAGCCUCGAUAGCUGGUGCGUCUUUCUGCGCAGCUAAGACCGAACGAACUUUAUCGCUGAAAACAUACAGUAAAAAAGAAGCGAUCCCCCUCUACCUCCUCAGAUUUUGUUCAAUGUGUGGUCCUACAAUGAAUGUGCAGCAUGGUCAGCCAAGGGAUUGUUGCACUUGUCCUAAAGAUAUGGUUUGUAGCAUUGCCUGGAGGAAGGUGGCUGGGAUUGGUGUGAUAGGAGCGAGUUUAUUUUCGCCCCCAGUUGUGCUCCCAUUGGUCAGUGGAAAAUGCGUGCGGGUGUUUUUUUUUUCUUUUUGGGAGAGGAAAACUGCGCCAUGCGGUUUGGUUUACGACAAAAUACACCCGUGUACAUAAACCACGCGUGUACGAUGGCGGUAGGCGACGAGACGGGGAGCCGAGGCGCUAAAUACGCGCGUCCAUCGUCUGUUGGAUCGUUAAAUAAAUCGUACACCGCCGCCCUCUGUCCGCGUGUGCGCCGGAUUGUCCACUAUUGAGUGUGUGCCCCCUCCCCCCUCCCCCCCUGCAUGGUGCAUAUUUUCAUCCUACUCGAAACCACCCAAGAACUCCCCAGGCCCUGCUGCAUCCCCUAUUCGCGUUCUAGCGCAGCGAUACUACUGUUACUACCACCACUACUACUGUUGUACAGCGAUCAUAUUGUGUGGUGUUUGAAACGAUCGAGCUUGACUGGAUGCUGCGUUGUUUUUGUUAUUCUUAAUUUUUUAUUAUACACAAUGGAUGGAUGGAUGGUUGGAUGAACGCAGAAAGCGCUCCGAGGGCGAGAAGGUAGUGCGCGAUGACUUGAGAUGCUGAAGACAGCUGGAAUGCAACAAAACAUGGGUUGCUUCAAGGUAACUGUAAAGAAAAGGCCAACAAUAAGUUCAAAAAUAACGAGACGUGCAAUGGCAGUGCGUGGCUGCACAAUGUACCACUGAGCAGUAAAGGGUUUAGAUGUCCGUGUGCACUUUACACGGCUAUAUCAGCUCACCGCCACCAUCUCCGGCAGUCCCUGUCCACGGUAAGGUAAGGUGAUGAGAGCGAAAUACGAUCGAGUAAAAUCAUUUGUUUAUAAUCAAUUUUUCAGUUUUGUAUACAACAGCGAAAUGCGUUGUCGAACCUCCCAGCCAGCCAGCCAGCCAGCCAGCCAGCCAACCAGUCAACCAGUCAACCAGCCAGUCAGCCCCCCAGGUUCGAUUCUUUGCUGCUCACGUGUACACCUUAGGAUAUGGCCAGCGUACGGUAAACCGUAAACCGCUACCACUCCACGCAGUCUAUGUGGAAUUGUAUUAAUUCAGUGAGCAGUUGCGGAGGGAGGGGGGGGUGGUUGGUAUGUAUCAUGAGGAGAGUAGUUGGAGCUGCGCAUGGUGUGAAAUAUUUUUAUAAAUCGUGGCUAAUAUUAGUAUACCAUUCCCACCUACGUUGCUAUUCGCCGUGCGUAUGGCUUCUGGCGGGCCCGAUGGUGUUUGCGGGGAGAAGGAAGGGAAUGAGAAAAACGAUGGGAAACAGGAGCACAACACAGCUGAGAAAAUGGACAAAACUGUCUAGUGGAGUGGAGAUUUACUAUUUACAAUUUGCUAGCUGAUGUAGAACGAACGCACUCUAAUGCUAUGCGUGGAAAGGAAUGGAUGGGCUGGGCG